AGGAGCUGGAUGAGAAGAAACUCUCAUGUCCAGUUCUGUAGUAGAGAUGGAAUUCAUAAACAACAACCAUCAACUAUAAC
rfam:Gossypium hirsutum cultivar TM-1 unplaced genomic scaffold scaffold615.1, whole genome shotgun sequence